rnacentral:rRNA from 1 species
CUUCCGUAGGGUGACCUGCGGAAGGAUCAUUACCGAGUGCGGGCCCCUCGGGGCCCAACCUCCCACCCGUGUUGCCCGAACCUAUGUUGCCUCGGCGGGCCCCGCGCCCGCCGACGGCCCCCCUGAACGCUGUCUGAAGUUGCAGUCUGAGACCUAUAACGAAAUUAGUUAAAACUUUCAACAACGGAUCUCUUGGUUCCGGCAUCGAUGAAGAACGCAGCGAAAUGCGAUAACUAAUGUGAAUUGCAGAAUUCAGUGAAUCAUCGAGUCUUUGAACGCACAUUGCGCCCUCUGGUAUUCCGGAGGGCAUGCCUGUCCGAGCGUCAUUGCUGCCCUCAAGCCCGGCUUGUGUGUUGGGCCCCGUCCCCCCCGCCGGGGGGACGGGCCCGAAAGGCAGCGGCGGCACCGCGUCCGGUCCUCGAGCGUAUGGGGCUUCGUCACCCGCUCUAGUAGGCCCGGCCGGCGCCAGCCGACCCCCAACCUUUAAUUAUCUCAGGUUGACCUCGGAUCAGGUAGGGAUACCCGCUGAACUUAAGCAUAUCAAAAAACGGGAGGAAACCGAGUGCGGGCCCCUCGGG